GAACGGGAUCCAAAGUCUUUAAGGGAUUUAUCGAUAAUGCAUUUGGGACCGUUUUUUCUUGUGUUGUUGAUCUUCAUAAUAAAUGAAGGUGCAACAGUUUCCGAGAAGAAUGAGAAUGAAGCGUUCAAGAGUGCGUUCGAUGGGUUUAAGUUUAAAAGGCAAAGAGAAAAAAGGACGCCGUCAACCGACCAGUUAACCGACGAGUUCUACCAGAGUUGUUUUACAAGGCUACUAAAUGAUGAAUUAGAAAGUACAAUGAACACCCCUAUCCGCGACGUCAUUGAGGAAUGCCAAAGGACUUAGCCCCAACUGGGAUGAACAUGUGCCUCCAGUAGUCAUCUGAAGAAAUCAAAAGAGCAAUUACAAUGUAUUCAAUUGUAAAUUAAAAGAUGCAAAAUUUUGUGUCAAAA